AGUGAACGCUGGCGGUAGGCCUAACACAUGCAAGUCGAACGGCAGCACAGUAAGAGCUUGCUCUUACGGGUGGCGAGUGGCGGACGGGUGAGGAAUACAUCGGAAUCUACUUUUUCGUGGGGGAUAACGUAGGGAAACUUACGCUAAUACCGCAUACGACCUACGGGUGAAAGCAGGGGAUCUUCGGACCUUGCGCGAUUGAAUGAGCCGAUGUCGGAUUAGCUAGUUGGCGGGGUAAAGGCCCACCAAGGCGACGAUCCGUAGCUAGUCUGAGAGGAUGAUCAGCCACACUGGAACUGAGACACGGUCCAGACUCCUACGGGAGGCAGCAGUGGGGAAUAUUGGACAAUGGGCGCAAGCCUGAUCCAGCCAUACCGCGUGGGUGAAGAAGGCCUUCGGAUUGUAAAGCCCUUUUGUUGGGAAAGAAAAGCAGCAGGUUAAUACCCCGCUGUUCUGACGGUACCCAAAGAAUAAGCACCGGCUAACUUCGUG
rnacentral:rRNA from 1 species